AUACGGAGGAUGCAAGCGUUAUCCGGAUUUAUUGGGUUUAAAGGGUGCGCAGGCGGCCAUUUAAGUCAGCGGUUAAGUCGUGGGGCUCAACCCCAUUCUGCCGUUGAUACUGGGUGGCUUGAUUGCGGUCGAGGUUGGCGGAAUUCGUUGUGUAGCGGUGAAAUGCAUAGAUAUGACGAAGAACACCGAUUGCGUAGGCAGCUGACCAGACCGCAAAUGACGCUCAUGCACGAAAGUGCGGGGAUCGAACAGGAUUAGAUACCCUGGUAGUCCGCACAGUAAACGAUGAAUACUUGUUUUCGGCGAUAUAAUGUCGGAGGCAAAGCGAAAGCGAUAAGUAUUCCACCUGGGGAGUACGCCGGCAACGGUGAAACUCAAAUGAAUUGACGGGG
rnacentral:rRNA from 1 species